AAACGUUUCUGAGCUGUUUUGCUGACAGAAGGCACCACCAGAAUUGGCAAGAGUUAUAAACAAGUUAUUCCAAAGUUAGUGCAUACUGAACAGAAGAAGCUGAUGGAGAGGAAGAGACUGAGGUGCAGGAGAAGAUGAGAGAAAUGAUGGAGCAGGAUUCCUGAGAGAGAAGCAAGAGAGGUCAGGCUGCUGGGCUUGAUCUAGCCCCCUCCUUGUACCACACACAAGGCGACUUUUUGGCAAAUACUGUAUCUUCAGCCAGGAGAAGUUGGCUGAGUACAAAAGG